rfam:Lactobacillus reuteri DSM 20016, complete genome.
AAAUAUUUGAUCGUAAUAGAAAUAGUAGUAUUUGACGAGGUCAGCAGAGAUCCUGUGGUGGUGUGAACAGGAGACUGGUCAUUUACGAACUCAUCUAAAUGUGAUUAUUACUGAAUUUUAGUAGGUAAUGACGUUUACCGCGUUAAGGUCUUAAGCGCCAUGGAUUCCAUGGAAAACGGGUGGUACCGCGGAGUUAUUUCGUCUCGUAG